GCCGGGUGUGGUGGCAGGCACCUGUAAUCCCAGCUACCCAGGGAGGCUAAGGCAGGAGAAUUGCUUGAACCCAGGAGACGGAGCUUGCAGUGAGCGGAGAUCCUGCCACUGCACUCCAGACUGGGCAACACGGUGGGACACUGUGUCAAAAAUAAAAAACAAACAAAAAAGAGAGAUGGAGUGUCACUCUGUCAUCCAGGCUGGAGUGCAGUGACAUGACCUAGGCUCACUGUACCCUCCGCCUCCGGGGUUCAAGCGAUUCUCGUGCC
rnacentral:lncRNA from 10 species